rnacentral:rRNA from 1 species
UAGUGGCAGACGGGUGAGUAAUGUAUAGGAAUCUACCUAGUAGUACGGAAUAAUUGUUGGAAACGGCAACUAAUACCGUAUACGCCCUACGGGGGAAAGAUUUAUUGCUAUUAGAUGAGCCUAUAUUAGAUUAGCUAGUUGGUAGGGUAAUGGCCUACCAAGGCAAUGAUCUAUAGCUGAUCUGAGAGGAUGAUCAGCCACACUGGAACUGAGAUACGGUCCAGACUCCUACGGGAGGCAGCAGUGGGGAAUAUUGGACAAUGGGCGGAAGCCUGAUCCAGCCAUGCCGCAUAAGUGAAGAAGGCCUUUGGGUUGUAAAGCUCUUUUAGUGAGGAAGAUAAUGACGGUACUCACAGAAGAAGUCCUGGCUAACUCCGUGCCAGCAGCCGCGGUAAUACGGAGAGGGCUAGCGUUAUUCGGAAUUAUUGGGCGUAAAGAGCGCGUAGGCUGGUUAGUAAGUUAAAAGUGAAAUCCCAAGGCUUAACUUUGGAAUUGCUUUUAAAACUGCUAAUCUAGAGAUUGAAAGAGGAUAGAGGAAUUCCUAGUGUAGAGGUGAAAUUCGUAAAUAUUAGGAGGAACACCAGUGGCGAAGGCGUCUAUCUGGUUCAAAUCUGA